GAUGAAGAACGUAGCGAAAUGCGAUACGUAAUGUGAAUUGCAGAAUUCAGUGAAUCAUCGAAUCUUUGAACGCAUAUUGCGCUCUUUGGUAUUCCGAAGAGCAUGCUUGUUUGAGUAUCAGUAAACACCUCAACCUCUUCUUGAUUUUUCAAAAGGAGGGUGGACUUGAGCUAUCCCAACAACCUUUACCGGUCGGCGGGCGGCUUGAAAUGCAGGUGCAACUGGACUUUUAUCUGAGCUAAAAGCAUAUCUAUUUAGUCCUCGUCAAACAGGAUUAUUACUUUUGCUGCAGCUAACAUAAAGGAUAAUUGUCCUCUUUGCUGACUGAUGCAGGAUUUUACGACACUUUAUGUGUUGUUCAACUCGAUCUCAAAUCAAGUAAGACUACCCGCUGAACUUAAGCAUAUCAAUAAGCGGAGGA
rnacentral:misc_RNA from 1 species